GAAUGCUGACAUAAGUAACGAUAAAGCGGGUGAAAAGCCCGCUCGCCGGAAGACCAAGGGUUCCUGUCCAACGUUAAUCGGGGCAGGGUGAGUCGACCCCUAAGGCGAGGCCGAAAGGCGUAGUCGAUGGGAAACAGGUUAAUAUUCCUGUACUUGGUGUUACUGCGAAGGGGGGACGGAGAAGGCUAUGUUGGCCGGGCGACGGUUGUCCCGGUUUAAGCGUGUAGGCUGGUUUUCCAGGCAAAUCCGGAAAAUCAAGGCUGAGGCGUGAUGACGAGGCACUACGGUGCUGAAGCGACAAAUGCCCUGCUUCCAGGAAAAGCCUCUAAGCAUCAGGUAACAUCAAAUCGUACCCCAAACCGACACAGGUGGUCAGGUAGAGAAUACCAAGGCGCUUGAGAGAACUCGGGUGAAGGAACUAGGCAAAAUGGUGCCGUAACUUCGGGAGAAGGCACGCUGAUAUGUAGGUGAAGCGACUUGCUCGUGGAGCUGAAA
rnacentral:rRNA from 1 species